UACGGAGGGUGCAAGCGUUGUCCGGAUUCAUUGGGUUUAAAGGGUGCGCAGGCGGGUCAUUAAGUCAGGGGUGAAAGACGGUUGCUCAACAAUCGCAGUGCCUUUGAUACUGGUGUUCUUGGGUGACCUUGAGGUAGGCGGAAUGGGUGGUGUAGCGGUGAAAUGCAUAGAUACCACCCAGAACUCCGAUUGCGAAGGCAGCCUACUGGAGGUUUACCGACGCUCAGGCACGAAAGCGUGGGGAUCAAACAGG
rnacentral:rRNA from 1 species